AUCCAGCUGACGAGUCCCAAAUAGGACAAGACGCGCAUCCUGAAU
rnacentral:hammerhead_ribozyme from 1 species